rnacentral:rRNA from 1 species
CUAAGUUUGAUGGCGACCGGCGCACGGGUGAGUAACACGUAUCCAACCUGCCGAUGACUCGGGGAUAGCCUUUCGAAAGAAAGAUUAAUACCCGAUGGCAUAGUUCUUCCGCAUGGUGGAACUAUUAAAGAAUUUCGGUCAUCGAUGGGGAUGCGUUCCAUUAGGUUGUUGGCGGGGUAACGGCCCACCUAGCCCGCGAUGGGUAGCCGGGUUGAGAGACCGACCGGCCACAUUGGGACUGAGAUACGGCCCAGACUCCUACGGGAGGCAGCAUG